CUGAAGUUCCCGCCAUAACGCUGGAGCCCCUGAGGUGCCAGAACGGAGGGACGUUCCUUGCGAACAAGUGUCUCUGCCUGCCCGGAUUUACAGGGGAGCUGUGCGAAACGGUGAUGAACAACAUCAAUGUCGAUGUGGUGCCAGCAGAGAUCAGUGUCAUCGUGGUGGUGACGAACAUGAACUUCUCUGAAAAAAUGGAGGAUCCAACGUCCACAGCGUUCGGAGCGUUUGUGUCAAUCUUCAUCAACCAGAUGGACCCGAUCUACAGGCAGACGCUGCCCGGGUUCCUACGCAUUAAGGUGAUCCAGCUGAGCAAGGGCAGCGUGGUGGUGCAUCACCACGUGGUCCUGACCGUGCCCUACGCCAGCUACACCAGCACCUACACCCAGGCUGUGGCCAACGUCAGCACGCUGCUCAAUGCAA
rnacentral:lncRNA from 1 species